rnacentral:tRNA from 1 species
CAUAUUAGAGUUUGUUUUGAAUUUUUCCUUUACGUUGAAAAGGUCUCUUUUGAGUAAUAUGAUUAUUAUUUUUUGG